rnacentral:rRNA from 1 species
CAGUCGCCGCGGGAAUACGUAGGUCCCGAGCGUUGUCCGGAUUUAUUGGGCGUAAAGCGAGCGCAGGCGGUUAGAUAAGUCUGUAGUUAAAGGCUGUGGCUUAACCAUAGUACGCUUUGGAAACUGUUUAACUUGAGUGCAAGAGGGGAGAGUGGAAUUCCAUGUGUAGCGGUGAAAUGCGUAGAUAUAUGGAGGAACGCCGGUGGCGAAAGCGGCUCUCUGGUCUGUAACUGACGCUGAGGCUCGAAAGCGUGGGGAGCGAACAGGAUUAGAUACCCCAGUAGUCCCUGUCUCUUAUACA